GGACCUGUGUCAACAAUGAGCCUUCAGAUCUGACCUCAGAUGCUUCCUUGCUGUGUGACCCUGGGCAAGUCACCUAACCCCAGUCGCCUUGUCUGCUCUUCUACCUUGGAAUCAAUCAAGACAGAAGUGAGAAGACCCUAUUUAUUUUGGACGUUGAAUGCCUGGAUGAUGCCGAGGACUCGGUGUCGAUACCGUUCUUUCUUGGGUCUCCGUGGGCUCCUGAGGAGGUUGGGCCUGAAGCACCUGAGAGGAAGUUAUCCAGUGGCAUCCCCCAAAGGAUGGUUUCCCAGAAUGGGCUGGAAAAGCUGCAUAGGUGGUCGAGGGAGGAAGGGGAGCCUGGGUUAUCUCCACCAAGGUCUGAGAGGAAGAGGACUAGACGGGGUACGUAGGAGACUGGUCUACAGACGACCAUCGUUUCCAGAAUGCUUGGUUUCAGUGGUCACAGAAUCUUUGAAGAUUUGGAUUGGAAGGAAUCUUAGAGAUCAUCAGCUCAUGGGAUCUCAGCUUCUGGACUGAAAGGACUCCUUAGAGAUUCUCUACAACCCCUUCAUUUUGCUAAGAACUUCUGCCCUGGAUGGCUUUGGCUUCUCCCUACAGUGAUC
rnacentral:lncRNA from 1 species